GCAGGGCUCUGCGGAGUAGGGAACCGGCGGGCGGAGUUUCGCCCCGGAGGAGGAGCUGACACACGUGCAGGCCGUAAUUACUACAAAUUGAUUCUCAAAAGAAUAAAGUAUGCUGUCAACAUAAGGUUAGUUGAGAAGACUUCCAGGAGAAGAGUGAUGACAACCACUUGGAAGAAGAGAAGCGUUAAUUAGCUACUUAAGUAAUGUAGUACUAAGCACACUGGUAACCAGUGAUAGUUUACUCCAUUGCUGAGUCUUUCCAUGGGCAAAACUACAGGGAGCAAUGACAGGUUCUAUAACUUUCCCACCAAAAAAAUAAGAACAAGCCUAAACCCUCUCUAACCACACAAAAGAAUAUAGGAGUGAAUCAAAAAGAUAAGAUAGUAAGGAACUUGUACUUUAUUUGAAGACAAAAUAGUUUUGCCAUUCUCAUGGUUUUUUGAAACAUUUUGAACACAAGUUCCUUUCCAAAAAACAAGGACAAGGAUUUUGAUCUUUUCUCAAGGCCAGCAGUUUGCAGGUAAGGUGAUUGGUUUAUAUUUAUUCUUGGCAUCUUGUUCUCUCAUCCUACAGCCCCCUCACCAAAAGCUGUUCUGGUCCCAAUCAGCAGUCCCACUGUGUAUCUUUUUGCAGAUAGCUUGCUCUCUGUCUUCACUUGAGCUUACUUGCUAUAACAGUUCCAAUAAUUUUUUUUUAAAUUCUUUCCUUUAUUUUUAACUUUAUUUUUGGGGGGCAGGUGGUUGAGGUAAUUAGGCUUACUUACUUAUUUAUUUUUAGAGGAAGUACUGGGGAUUGAACCCAGGACCUUUUGCAUGCUAAGCAUGUACUGUACCACUGAGCUAUACCCUCCCCCCUAGUUCCAAUUAGAGACAUUUAAAAUAUCAAGCAACUUGGGCCUUUCAGUAAAAUGUGGUAAAGUAUCUGAAACUUAACUUUUAUACAGUUGUCUUUGGUUGACCUGUACAACUCAUUUUUCUCCAACUUUUGAAGCACCUAAAAUAUUUCAGAAGGAAUUUGGAAGACACAGCUGUGAGUCCUCUGUGGCAUCAGAUUUUAGCCUGGCCUGUACUCAGCAAGCACUACAUUUCAGAGGGGCUCAGGGUCCCUCUGCUGGUGAGUAGUGAGAACUCUUCCAGUUCAGUCGGUGGCAUAGGUUCAACGCAUGGAAAGGUUAAGAACUAUCAGUCUGGACUGAUUAUUGCCUUGAGUGUUGACCCUGGACAGGGGUAGUUAAUUGUUUCAUGCGUUUCUUUCAGUUUCAAUCAGUAGGAGUUUUGGGAUGUGUAAGCAUGUGCUCUGGAGCUGAAGGGUUGGGGAAGGGAUCCUGGUGUCUUAAUUUGCCCUCAAGAUGUCAUAGAACUUGGACAGUCUUUGUAGUAGCCCUAGAUAUUGAAUAAACUGGUUUAACAACUUUAAUUUUAAAA